UUGCGCUGCCCUCCUUGGGCGUUUCCUCCCUAGACUGCGGCCUGCCCUCCGGGGUGGGCCGCUUUUUCGGGAGCA
rnacentral:sRNA from 1 species